AACGCACCUUGCGCCCCAUGGUAUUCCGUGGGGCAUGCCUGUUUGAGUGUCACGUGAAACCCUCACUCCUUGUCAUGUUGAAAGAUGUGGCUCGGAUGUGGACUUGGACUGUGCCGUGAUUGGCUCGUCUUGAAAUGCAUUAGCCGUCGCUGGUUAGAUUCAGCCACCUGGUGUGAUAAUUACACUUAUGCCUACUGUGCUGCUUCUUCCAUUGGUGAGGGCUUACAAUCGUCGCUAGUUCGACAGACUCACUUAACGCUCUGGCCUCAAAUCAGGUAGGACUACCCGCUGAACUUAA
rnacentral:misc_RNA from 1 species